UUAAGCGACUAAGCGUACACGGUGGAUGCCCUGGCAGUCAGAGGCGAUGAAGGACGUGCUAAUCUGCGAAAAGCGCCGGCGAGGUGAUAUGAACCUUUGACCCGGCGAUGUCCGAAUGGGGAAACCCAGUGUGUUUCGACACACUAUCGUUAACUGAAUACAUAGGUUAACGAGGCGAACCGGGGGAACUGAAACAUCUAAGUACCCCGAGGAAAAGAAAUCAACCGAGAUUCCCCCAGUAGCGGCGAGCGAACGGGGAGCAGCCCGGAGUCUGAAUCAGCUUGUGUGUUAGUGGAACGGUCUGGAAAGUCCGACGGUACAGGGUGAUAGUCCCGUACACGAAAGCACACAGGUUGUGAACUCGAAGAGUAGGGCGGGACACGUGGUAUCCUGUCUGAAUAUGGGGGGACCAUCCUCCAAGGCUAAAUACUCCUGACUGACCGAUAGUGAACCAGUACCGUGAGGGAAAGGCGAAAAGAACCCCGGCGAGGGGAGUGAAAAAGAACCUGAAACCGUGUACGUACAAGCAGUGGGAGCCUACUUGUUAGGUGACUGCGUACCUUUGUAUAAUGGGUCAGCGACUUAUAUUCUGUAGCAAGGUUAACCGAAUAGGGGAGCCGAAGGGAAACCGAGUCUUAACUGGGCGUUAAGUUGCAGGGUAUAGACCCGAAACCCGGUGAUCUAGCCAUGGGCAGGUUGAAGGUUGGGUAACACUAACUGGAGGACCGAACCGACUAAUGUUGAAAAAUUAGCGGAUGACCUGUGGCUGGGGGUGAAAGGCCAAUCAAACCGGGAGAUAGCUGGUUCUCCCCGAAAGCUAUUUAGGUAGCGCCUCGUGAACUCAUCUUCGGGGGUAGAGCACUGUUUCGGCUAGGGGGCCAUCCCGGCUUACCAACCCGAUGCAAACUACGAAUACCGAAGAAUGUUAUCACGGGAGACACACGGCGGGUGCUAACGUCCGUCGUGAAGAGGGAAACAACCCAGACCGCCAGCUAAGGUCCCAAAGUCAUGGUUAAGUGGGAAACGAUGUGGGAAGGCACAGACAGCCAGGAUGUUGGCUUAGAAGCAGCCAUCAUUUAAAGAAAGCGUAAUAGCUCACUGGUCGAGUCGGCCUGCGCGGAAGAUGUAACGGGGCUAAACCAUGCACCGAAGCUGCGGCAGCGACACUAUGUGUUGUUGGGUAGGGGAGCGUUCUGUAAGCCGUUGAAGGUGGCCUGUGAGGGUUGCUGGAGGUAUCAGAAGUGCGAAUGCUGACAUAAGUAACGAUAAAGCGGGUGAAAAGCCCGCUCGCCGGAAGACCAAGGGUUCCUGUCCAACGUUAAUCGGGGCAGGGUGAGUCGACCCCUAAGGCGAGGCCGAAAGGCGUAGUCGAUGGGAAACAGGUUAAUAUUCCUGUACUUGGUGUUACUGCGAAGGGGGGACGGAGAAGGCUAUGUUAGCCGGGCGACGGUUGUCCCGGUUUAAGCAUGUAGGCGGAGGUUCCAGGUAAAUCCGGUACCUUUUUAACGCUGAGGUGUGAUGACGAGGCACUACGGUGCUGAAGUAACAAAUGCCCUGCUUCCAGGAAAAGCCUCUAAGCAUCAGGUAACACGAAAUCGUACCCCAAACCGACACAGGUGGUCAGGUAGAGAAUACCAAGGCGCUUGAGAGAACUCGGGUGAAGGAACUAGGCAAAAUGGUGCCGUAACUUCGGGAGAAGGCACGCUGAUAUGUAGGUGAAGCCCCUGCGGGUGGAGCUGAAAUCAGUCGAAGAUACCAGCUGGCUGCAACUGUUUAUUAAAAACACAGCACUGUGCAAACACGAAAGUGACGUAUACGGUGUGACGCCUGCCCGGUGCCGGAAGGUUAAUUGAUGGGGUUAGCGGCAACGCGAAGCUCUUGAUCGAAGCCCCGGUAAACGGCGGCCGUAACUAUAACGGUCCUAAGGUAGCGAAAUUCCUUGUCGGGUAAGUUCCGACCUGCACGAAUGGCGUAAUGAUGGCCAGGCUGUCUCCACCCGAGACUCAGUGAAAUUGAACUCGCUGUGAAGAUGCAGUGUACCCGCGGCAAGACGGAAAGACCCCGUGAACCUUUACUAUAGCUUGACACUGAACACUGGUCCUUGAUGUGUAGGAUAGGUGGGAGGCUUUGAAGCGUGGACGCCAGUCUGCGUGGAGCCGACCUUGAAAUACCACCCUUUAAUGGCCUGGUGUUCUAACGUAGACCCGUAAUCCGGGUUGCGGACAGUGUCUGGUGGGUAGUUUGACUGGGGCGGUCUCCUCCCAAAGAGUAACGGAGGAGCACGAAGGUUAGCUAAUCCUGGUCGGACAUCAGGAGGUUAGUGCAAUGGCAUAAGCUAGCUUGACUGCGAGAGUGACGGCUCGAGCAGGUGCGAAAGCAGGUCAUAGUGAUCCGGUGGUUCUGAAUGGAAGGGCCAUCGCUCAACGGAUAAAAGGUACUCCGGGGAUAACAGGCUGAUACCGCCCAAGAGUUCAUAUCGACGGCGGUGUUUGGCACCUCGAUGUCGGCUCAUCACAUCCUGGGGCUGAAGUAGGUCCCAAGGGUAUGGCUGUUCGCCAUUUAAAGUGGUACGCGAGCUGGGUUUAGAACGUCGUGAGACAGUUCGGUCCCUAUCUGCCGUGGGCGCUGGAGAAUUGAGGGGGCUGCUCCUAGUACGAGAGGACCGGAGUGGACGCAUCACUGGUGUUCGGGUUGUCAUGCCAAUGGCACUGCCCGGUAGCUAAAUGCGGAAGAGAUAAGUGCUGAAAGCAUCUAAGCACGAAACUUGCCCCGAGAUGAGUUCUCCCUGAGACUAUAAGUCUCCUGAAGGAACGUUGAAGACGACGACGUUGAUAGGUCGGGUGUGUAAGCGCAGCGAUGCGUUGAGCUAACCGAUACUAAUGAACCGUGAGGCUUAACCUU
rnacentral:rRNA from 1 species